ACCACCACCAGCAGCUCCCUAGAGUGCCUCUCCCUGCAUUACUGGGUGCUAAGUGCUUCCUGCAGGAUACCCCGUGGACAGAAUGGCCACCUUUCCACCUAGAACCACAGGCACCCCACUCCUGGGCAGGGCAGGGGGGUGUCUUGAAGCUGGGCCCCAAGGACCGUACAGAUCCUGCCUGAGAUGCCCACACACACUGCUGUGUGGGUGAAGGAUGUGCUGAGAAAAUCCAGGCUGGUGACACACCUCCCAAACCCGUCCGCACCUGCUGUGGAGACUUGGAGACCCCAGGCCCCCAAUUCUGAUGUCUUCACCCCACCCCUCCCCAGCUUUGGUGCCAGGAACCGUGAGAAGAAAAGUAAAGGAGUUUAAUCAGGA